UAGGAUGAACGCUAGCUACAGGCUUAACUCAUGCAAGUCGAGGGGCAGCAUUUUAGUUUGCUUGCAAACUGAAGAUGGCGACCGGCGCACGGGUGAGUAACACGUAUCCAACCUGCCGAUAACUCCGGAAUAGCCUUUCGAAAGAAAGAUUAAUACCGGAUAGCAUACGAAUAUCGCAUGAUAUUUUUAUUAAAGAAUUUCGGUUAUCGAUGGGGAUGCGUUCCAUUAGUUUGUUGGCGGGGUAACGGCCCACCAAGACUACGAUGGAUAGGGGUUCUGAGAGGAAGGUCCCCCACAUUGGAACUGAGACACGGUCCAAACUCCUACGGGAGGCAGCAGUGAGGAAUAUUGGUCAAUGGGCGAGAGCCUGAACCAGCCAAGUAGCGUGAAGGAUGAAGGCUCUAUGGGUCGUAAACUUCUUUUAUAUGGGAAUAAAGUUUUCCACGUGUGGAAUUUUGUAUGUACCAUAUGAAUAAGGAUCGGCUAACUCCGUGCCAGCAGCCGCGGUAAUACGGAGGAUCCGAGCGUUAUCCGGAUUUAUUGGGUUUAAAGGGAGCGUAGGUGGAUUGUUAAGUCAGUUGUGAAAAUUUGCGGCUCAACCGUAAAAUUGCAGUUGAAACUGGCAGUCUUGAGUACAGUAGAGGUGGGCGGAAUUCGUGGUGUAGCGGUGAAAUGCUUAGAUAUCACGAAGAACUCCGAUUGCGAAGGCAGCUCACUAGACUGUCACUGACACUGAUGCUCGAAAGUGUGGGUAUCAAACAGGAUUAGAUACCCUGGUAGUCCACACAGUAAACGAUGAAUACUCGCUGUUUGCGAUAUACAGUAAGCGGCCAAGCGAAAGCAUUAAGUAUUCCACCUGGGGAGUACGCCGGCAACGGUGAAACUCAAAGGAAUUGACGGGGGCCCGCACAAGCGGAGGAACAUGUGGUUUAAUUCGAUGAUACGCGAGGAACCUUACCCGGGCUUAAAUUGCAACAGAAUAUAUUGGAAACAGUAUAGCCGUAAGGCUGUUGUGAAGGUGCUGCAUGGUUGUCGUCAGCUCGUGCCGUGAGGUGUCGGCUUAAGUGCCAUAACGAGCGCAACCCUUAUCUUUAGUUACUAACAGGUUAUGCUGAGGACUCUAGAGAGACUGCCGUCGUAAGAUGUGAGGAAGGUGGGGAUGACGUCAAAUCAGCACGGCCCUUACGUCCGGGGCUACACACGUGUUACAAUGGGGGGUACAGAAGGCGGCUACCUGGUGACAGGAUGCUAAUCCCAAAAACCUCUCUCAGUUCGGAUCGAAGUCUGCAACCCGACUUCGUGAAGCUGGAUUCGCUAGUAAUCGCGCAUCAGCCAUGGCGCGGUGAAUACGUUCCCGGGCCUUGUACACACCGCCCGUCAAGCCAUGAAAGCCGGGGGUACCAGAAGUACGUAACCGCAAGGAGCGUCCUAGGGU
rnacentral:rRNA from 1 species